GGNCCUCAGAUUAGGCAAGGAUACCCGCUGAAUUUAAGCAUAUUACUAAGCGGAGGAAAAGAAACUAACAAGGAUUCCCAGAGUAAUGGCGAAUGAAAUGGGAUCGGCUCAAGCUGAUAAUCUCUGGCUGCUUUCAUGUGGUCAGCGAAUUGUAGUCUAGAAUGGUCGCCUUGUGUGGUAUGCACUCAGGUAAAGUCCACUUGGAANAGUGUGCCAGAGAGGGUGAGAGCCCCGUGUAGCGUGUUGUGCCUGAGCUGUGUCUGCAAUCGGUGGCCGUUGAGGAGUCGGGUUGUUUGGGAUUGCAGCCCACAGUGGGUGGUAGACUCCACUGAAAGCUAAAUACACACACGAGACCGA
rnacentral:rRNA from 1 species